rnacentral:rRNA from 1 species
GACGGGGGAUGCAAGCGUUAUCCGGCAUCACUGGGCGUAAAGCGUCUGUAGGUGGUGAUGCAAGUCACUGGUGCAAAACUCUGGCUCAACCGGAGGAAAGCCAGUGAAACUGCAUGACUAGAGUGUGGGAGAGGUAGAAGGAAUUCCCUGAGUAGCGGUGAAAUGCGUAGAUACAGGGAAGAACACCGGAGGCGAAAGCGUUCUACUGGAACACAACUGACACUGAGAGACCAAAGCUAGUGGAGCGAAGGGG